UGUAGUUUGUCCAAGUGGUGUUGCCGUAUGUUGCAAGAUGGCCUACGUUGUUGGACGCGAUUGCGCAUGUGUGACUCAAAUCGGGUAGCGACUCACAUCGGGUAAUGACAUCCCCAAGGUCAGGCAUGUCUUAGCUUCAUGCCUGACCUUCCAGCAUUCAGCUAGGGACUGACUUCCCGGUACAGACUCGGCUUGCCUCUGACCUGGUCUUCCUGCCUCUGCCCCGACGCUGCAUCCUCUUCAGAUCAUCCGGACAAGCACUUGCUCCAUCUCCAGCCCUUUGAGUUCUGAUGGUUGCCUGAGACGAUAAUUGACACAAAAAGCACCUGAAGUGUGUCUUCCUCCUGCGGUCUGUUGGGGAUUUAAAGAUGUCUUAAUCUUAUAAAUCAUCCUUCUUUGCACAAUCAGCUCCAGUGUCUCCAGAACAGACGCAGCCUUCUUUCACUUUCUUAUUUUUAAGAUUUUUGAUGCUGCUUUAACUUGUAGAGGUCUCUAGAAGAUAUUCAUCACUUGUUUGUAUUUGCAUAAAGCGUUGGUUUCAUUUUACAGCUUAAUUCAGGUGUUUGGUUGUUGUUAGAUAACCUUUUUUCUAUGACGCCAUUACCAGGAACAGAAUUUGUUUUGGCUAUUCAGUUGUCUGAUAGCAAUCUGUCUGGGGCGUAUGUCUGUGUUAACUUUUCUUUCUUUUUUUGACUUUUAGUGCAAUCAUGAGGUUUUAUAUGUGCAUGAGAUGUUCUUACACAUGUAAUAGUUUUAACACAAGUUUCUUGAGAGGUUGUGACAGAAAUGUCAGAUCAUUGAUGAGCAGGAUUAAGGAAGCAGAGCUGAAAGAAUGGCUGGAGGGAGGAAUGAACACAAAGAGCUGAGCACAGGAAGUACAAAGAGCAAAGAAAGAAGACUAAUUUAAAAUGUUUUAAUCCUGUUAUGGAUGGAAUAGGACCAGGAAUUAACAGAUACUGAGAAAAUGUGUUUCUAUCCAAAAUAAAUGCGUGCAACGCUGCAGCUCAGAUAUCUGCACUGUUGAAGAUAAGUACUUCAGAUAUAUCUUGUGGAAUGUGAAUGGUUUAAGGUGGGGCAACAAUGCUAACCAAUUUCUGCAACAUCACGCUUUCAAGAGAGCCAGCUGGAAAAACACUAAAGCCUCAAACUGAGAUAGUUGGAAACAUGACAGUGAUUAAUCAUCUAGUUUUGUAAAACCCAGAUCUGCUCACGCUCACGCGAGUACUUUAUGACAACAUAAAGUUCCAGUGGAACACAGUCGUUGGUUUCAGUGGACUUUAGAAACGAAUAAAAAUGUUGAUUAUUUG